UAUUUUCAGUAUUUUUUUGGGAGAUUUUGAAACAUAUUUUUCCUUCUUACAAGCUUUUCAAAAUGCUCUAACUAGCUCUAAGCAAAGUUAGUAUGAAGAUGAAGGGUGUUUUAGAAUAAAGAAAGAGUUAGCUACUCUUUAAGGUCUUCUUCAAGGUUUUUUUUGGUAGAAUUUUUAUAGUUCUUUUAAUAUUUUGUAUGUAGAUUUUAAAAAGUAUAUUUAUUCUUUAUUAGCUAUUCAAAAAAAAAUUAUUUGCUGUAAGAGGAGUUAGUGUAAAGAUGGAA
rnacentral:lncRNA from 1 species